rnacentral:tRNA from 1 species
GUUUUUGUGGCCGAGUGGUUAAGGCGAUGGAUUAGAAAUCCAUUGGGGUCUCCCCGCGCAGGUCCGAAUCCUGCUGACAACG